GUUGGUGGAGCGAUUUGUCUGGUUAAUUCCGAUAACGAACGAGACUCUGGCAUGCUAAAUAGUUACGCGACCCUCGGCGGUCGGCGUCCAACUUCUUAGAGGGACUAGUGGCGUUUAGCCACACGAGAUCGAGCAAUAACAGG
rnacentral:rRNA from 1 species